AAAAAAAAAAAAAAAAACUCUUCCAAAAAAGCACCGGUCUGCAGAUGUCUGCAAGAGAAUCAACAAACCCUCCUUCUUCUACGGCAGGGCAGGGGACGUAUUCACUGGGAGCUUUAGGAUAAUGCAUUUGUGGAGACUGGAACUGAAAAUGUUAAUACUAUUGUAAGGUUUUUUCCUCUGUGGACUGAGAAAGCAAGGCCCUUUCCAGGACACAAGAGAUUUGGACUGGACUUUUGUAAAAUAAGCCCUGCUACGAAAAGCUACUUGAAAGCUCCUUGGGAAAAAUAUACCUUAUGCUGGUGCCAUGCCUUGUUUGGCUCAACUGGGGAAAAAAAAAAAAAAAAAAAAAAAAACAACUUGCUACCUUACUAAAGCUUCUUGAAAAUCAUGUGAAAUAGUGUUUCUCCACUUGACAUUUUUGGAAAACAAGAACAAAAACAGAACAUAAUGAUGGUCUUUUUCUCCCAGGACAUUUCUCAUGUACAAUCAAAUAAAAAAAAAAAAUAUUAAAUUAAACUUGGCUUA
rnacentral:lncRNA from 1 species